ensembl:lncRNA
CAGAGGGUUAAUAAUCUUUAUAAGGCUUUACCAAUCCUGUGGGUGGUAGGGGAAAACAGUGACCCAGAUUAUCUACUGGAAGGCUUUGGGUUGAUUGUAACCGGUGAACGGUAGAGUAUGUGGGAGAUACAGCCUGUAGAAUGCUUUCAAAUUUAAAGGUUAGGUCUAAUGUACAGUCAGUGAUAUGUGAUGGACCCUCCUGGGAAGUUCAUAUUUACGAGUUGGGAAGUCGUAAUUAUAAUGUCAGGUGCGUUCAAGUCACUUUGGUCAGAGCGAGAUGACGGUGUACCUUCUCUUAAUUAACUACAAAAAAAAUACAGCAUGUUUUUUUAACUCUCCUUCUAGAAAAUGAAGAAUAAAGAUAACCACCAAAAGGCAGCCGUAUUUCCCAAGACGGGCUGUAAUGAGGUGAAAGGCAGAUGUCUGAAGCAGAGCAGAAACACAUGGAGGAGAGUUGAACUGGCACUGCCAGCAUGUUUAGACGAGUACCAGCAGCAGGCACAGUGGCACUACUGGCGUCAGCGUCUGCAGAACAGUACUGUAGCACGGCAGAGGUGGUCACAGCCCGCCGGCUUCCAACGUUUCACACACUCUUUGUCUCUGUCGCUCUCUGUCUGUCUGUUUGCACCAGGGAAAAAAGUUUCUACACUUUAAUAACACUUUAAUCACUUUGUGUUCUGAUAUCUGGCUGAAAGUGUGUGCAUGUGCCACCAAAAAAAGGUUGCUUCCUUGUAAAAUUCUUUCUUAGAAGUCCUGAAGACUGUUUUCCAUCUGGUGUGAAGGGGCUCAGAAAAAACAGACGAAACUCAUUUAUUUAGCUGAGCAAAUUUGUAGACAAGACUCUGUACUAACACUUCACUAAGAAACACUCACUAAUAUUGCUUUGUACAUAUUGCAUUUUUAAAGGAACUUCUCUGACCCUGUCACACACUUUCAUUAACUGCUUUAUCCCGGUCAAGGUCAUAGUGAAUUCAGAGUUUAUGCCAGUGUCAUGUAAUGGAGGCGGAGACGGAAGCAAAUGCAGGUAUUGCAGCUUUAAUGAGAGAAUAAAAUCCAAAGGGCAAGGCAAAAUCAGAAACUAAGACAGGCAAAGGUCAGGCGAUCAGGCAAACAGACAAAUAGAGCAGGUAAGGCAGAUAAUCAGAGUCAAGGACAAAACAGAAUCAAAACCAGAAUAACAAAACUAGAGACUAAAGCAAGUGAGCGUUCACUUGAGUAGCAUGAUCCUGCAAUACCAGAGGCUACAUUUUCAGGACCACAGUCCUAGGACCGCACUUUUAGGACCCUAGGUUUUAGUGACAGCGCCACCUACCGAAUCAGAGGAGCAAUGACCGCAUUUUUUGUGGCAACAUUGAAGAUGGACAACAAUCAGAGUGUGAGUACCAAAUGUGAAUCAAUUUUUAUUUGUUCAACAUUAAAAAACCAUUGUGAUGCAUUGAAUUGGACAGCAAAGUUAACAUAGCC